UACGUAGGUGACCAGCGUUGUCCGGAUUUACUGGGCGUAAAGAGCGCGCAGGCGGUCGUUCAAGUCGAGUGUGAAAGCCCCCGGCUCAACUGGGGAGGGUCACUCGAUACUGAUCGACUUGAAGGCAGGAGAGGGAAGCGGAAUUCCCGGUGUAGUGGUGAAAUGCGUAGAGAUGUGGAGGAACACCAGUGGCGAAGGCGGCUUUCUGGUCAGUAACUGACGCUGAGGCGCGAAAGCGUGGGGAGCAAACAGG
rnacentral:rRNA from 1 species